GGCAAUUUCUAUCGGCGACGGGAUCGCAAGAAAAUUCGCCGUGAAAAGAUGCGAGAAAGUGCGAGACUCUGGAUGGUGUCGGUGGACAGAAUAAGUUGGCAGGGGUUGUUUACGAAAUGGACGAUCUACGAGGGAAAAGACCCGUAUGAAUCAGUGUAAUCCGGGGCGGGGUGGUAGUAAAACGGUGGCUCAACACUGGCUGCCAUCUGCUGACGGUCGUUUUAAGCUCGAGCCACUGGUUCCCCGUGAAGUGCAUUGCCGAAACGAGACGUUCGGCACCGAAACGACAUCACCGUUAGCUCGUUUUCUUCCUCGAAAAAGGAUCGACAGUGAUCCAGGUGUACGUGUGGCGAUCCAUAGAACCGCGUUAUCAACCGCGACGCGAGACAACCUCGUGACAGUGUAGUUCUCCUGUGGUACCGUGUGUUGUGUUCCUCUGUCAGAAUCGAGAGAACGGAACGGUCACGUACCAGCCAGCUAGCCAGGAUGACGGACACGAGAAUGACGUAAAGCCCACGAGGCCAAGUGGAUACGACCGACGGUCUACACUCGUUUCCGACGAAACGUGAAAAACCUCUUCGUCGAACGUGAUCCGAGACUUGGCAUGCGAUCCAAGGAAGUAUGGAAAUCAGGCGGCUCCUGAGUCCUGCUACCUCGAUCGAAACCUGACCGAACUGAACGAUGAUCGAUAUCGAGUGGAUACUAUUCGUGGGUGCAAUGAUCUUCCACGAGAAAACUAUGUGCGAUAAACCUUCAGGCGAAUGGAGUACGCUCGAUGAUUGAAACUCUGUCAGACUCGACAGCGAACUUUUUGUUACCGUUCCACUGGUGAACGCAGAUCGAGACUGGCGAUAGUGGUAGCAGUUUAUAAAGGGAAUCACGUUAGUUCUACCUGUACGAUGUAAAAUCGAGAUAAGGUGCGAGGACGAUCAGAAGGAGGCGAAAUGUGAUGGAAGAGGAAACGUGAAUUGUUUCCCUACGUCGUACGACGUCGUGUUGAACGACGAGGCUGGUUGUUAACGGAAUAUCGACCGAAAAGCGUAGCUACCGAAUUAGUCGUGGCGAAGGUCGCACAGAAAACUCGUACGAUUCGCCCUUUGGAUGACAACCCUAAGUCAAAGCUCUCUGAACGGACACAGCCCUUGUCAACGAGGGAGCUUGGAGAAAAUAUUCGAUUACUGUUUUUUUUUUUUUUUUUCGAAAAUUCCUGGACAAACGUAUCGUGACUCGAAUCUGUCUAGUGUGUAUACAUAUAUAUUUUGGAGACUGAAAGAGGGACAUGUAAUUCGGUGAGCAUCGAUAAUUACCUGGGUCAAGAUUAACUAUCCAGGGAACGUUGAAACCGAAAGUGCGAACUGGAUGCAACACUCUCGGAGAACAGUUUUCUGAACGAGACCUACUGACCUAUCGACUCGACGUUCCUCCUCUCACCAUUUUGUUCCCUCUUCUUUUUUUUUUUGUUACUUUUACCCUGUUGGAUUAUCGAAUAGCUAAAUUGGCACAUCAGAGGACACCGACCGGUGGUGGAAGUGGUAUUUAGAAGGCAAGGGGGCGAUGUAGCUGCGCGUACGAACGCGCGGGUGAAUCGAAGAGAGUCGUUCUUUGAACGAGACCCACUGACCUAUCGACUCGCUGCUCUACUCCUACCCUUUGCCGUCUUUCUUUCCUCGCUACCCUAUUUCUACCUUUUCCACCCUUCCGUUUGUUGGCGUGCCGCUACCGGGACAUUUGUAAUUCCAUUCCCUCACGACCCUCGUCGGGGGGGUAAAAGUUCGAGGAUAACCUAACAGAUAGGUGUGUGAACCGUCAACCACACACAGAGAAUUAAGAAACGAAGAGUGCCUAAAGUAUUUUUUCAAUCGGUACUUCGACUGAACAGAGAUUUCUAGUUGUACAAUUUCGUGAUUCUAUCCCCUCUUGCCUUUCGACAUCUUGCUUGUUACUGCGCUUUCGAGACUUUUUUACUUGUGUUUUUUAACGAUAAGCGCCUCGUGUUCAGGGUAAUGGUUUUUUAAUUCCUUCUGUUGUAGUUGAUCAAGUAUAUUUAGGGUAUCGAUAAUACAAGGUGAAGAGUGCCUAAAAUUGUAUGCCUUCUCGACUGAUUAUCGGAGACCGACGCGAACCGUUGUGUCUCUCUUGUUCUUGAAUUUGUCGUACCUCAUUGUUUCGAAUUUCUCUUUCUCUUCGUCACGGGAGCGGAAUUUCUCUUUUCGUAAGGAUAAAGUUGGACGAUUCGGAUAACGGUUCCGAUCGAUACGAUAAAACAGUGCCUCAGAUUAAUAUCCUCCUCUCGACUGAUCGACGGAGAAACAUAGAAAUUUUACCUCGUAAGCUUCCUUCGUUUAUCGCGAUUUUUCGCUUGUCCUUUUCGUUCCGAUGAUUAUAAGAACUUUACACGAAUUUAAUAAGCAAAGAUAUUGCUAAUCGUAUCUUUUUCUUUAAAAAUUUUUAUCAACCUCAUCAGAAACACUCCUUUCCCUGAUCACGUUAACGCUUCGCCAAUCAAUCGCAGACUGAUAACGAUCGAUCGUGCGCGAAUAAAACACACUAGAACCCUCUAAUAUUUAUCGUUCCACGAUUACCUCGAUGUCUUACAUCCUCGUUGCAUCGAGAGUAGGAUCGUCGAAGAAUCGCGUGUCUUUGGAACUGCUGAAGAAAACUGAGAAGAAAAUAAAUCCACGUUUUCCGUUCAGCAGGUUGCCAACUUAAUCGAAUCGUCGAACUUUAAUCGGGUCGACUGCGCGAUCGAUCGAACGGUACAGCAGCCCUUGACAGUGCGUCUUUAAUCUCGUUGACGGAAGAGAUGGCAUCCAGAUCGCGUUUCGAACUCUCCGUGAUGCCCUCGGACGCUAAACAAGAUUGCACGACGAUCGUCGAUGAAUUUUCUUGUAAAAGCUUGACGAGCUGGUGCAGGCCUUCGUCGGACAUAGUCUGAUCGUAAAAUAAGAAGAAAAUUAUCCACAGCAAUAAACAAUAUCGAGCACGUUGCAAAGGCAACGAAUUCUCCUGGAAAUAACGUAAAAGAAAAAAAAGGAAAAAUCUUAUUCGCAAACAGGAGCCUCGUAAUAAAUUUCCCAGCUACGAGAUCGAAACGUGUCUGAUCUAAUACGUUCAUCAUCCACUUGCCCUAACAAAUCAUUAAGCAAAAUCAGAAAACGUCGAGGCUCGUUGCGAUACAAUCGAUCACGUUCCUUCUUUAUUCGAGCUGCAGCAAUGUUGUGAUUGUGAUUUAAAUAAAAAAGACUGCUCGCAUAGAACGAUAAAAACGUGAAAAUCAUGGCGGAAAGCGCGGCGAGUCCGGGCACCGUGCAAGUGGCUGCGAACAGUCCGCAACAACAGCAACAGUCGCAACAAUCGCAACAAACGCAACAGAAUCAACAACCGCCGGAUAUAAGCAGCUCGCAGUUGGCAUCGCCACCGAUCACGGGCACAGGUACGAAUAGGAAACGAUCGAGAUCUUCCGCCCAGAUCGAAAUAAUCCCGUGCAAGGUGUGCGGCGACAAGAGCAGCGGCGUUCAUUAUGGCGUGAUCACCUGCGAGGGCUGCAAAGGCUUCUUCAGGCGGUCCCAGUCGUCGGUCGUCAACUAUCAAUGUCCACGGAACAAGAAUUGCGUGGUCGACCGUGUAAACAGAAACCGGUGCCAGUACUGUCGGUUGCAAAAGUGCCUACGCCUCGGCAUGUCCAGAGAUGCCGUUAAAUUCGGGCGCAUGUCGAAGAAGCAGCGAGAGAAGGUCGAAGACGAAGUUAGGUUCCACAGGGCACAAAUGAGAGCGGCCUCUGAGACGGCGCCCGACAGCAGUGUAUUCGAACACCAGACUCCGAGCAGUUCGGAUCAACACCACCCCUAUAACGGCGGGUACGCGUAUGGCGGUAGUGAAUACGCUUCUCCCGGUCCCGGCACGGGUGGGUCGGGUUAUUACAAUCAUCAAGCGAUGACAAACUACGAGCUUAGCGCCGAUUAUGUCGACAGCACGACGACCUACGACCCACGACCGACGCAGACGCAGGUCGCGGACACUGUCGCCCCUGAUACACCCUCCGCUGUUACCGCGACUGGGGUACUUCCCAGCGUGGUCACCACCGGGAAGUCGCUGUCUGCCUCGACGACUGGAAGCAGCACGGGGGGUAGUGGUGGUGGUAGUGGAGGCGGCGGAGGCGGUGGUGGCGGUGGUAACGGUGGUGGAUCCGGCGGCGGUGGUGGUGGUGGUGGAGGUGGUGGUGGAGGGUCGGGUGGUGGAGGGAGCGGUUCUGGCACUGGUGGCGGUGCAACCGCCGGUGGAGGAGGAGGGGGUGGUGGCGGUGCCGGUUCCCUGAGCGGGGGUGGAAUCGUUGCUGUGAAGCAAGAGACCACCGUCGAACUCGCCAGCUUGGGCCACGGCUCGUACACGAUGGUCGACUCGACGACCUUUCUGAGCGGUCAGCAACAGAGGGUCAGCAAUCCAUCCGAGGACGACGAAGUGCCGAGUCUGCCCAGUAUGUCCCAUGCGAGAUAUCCGGCACAAAUCAGCGAGUUGCUUUCAAAAACGAUAGCGGAUGCACACGCAAGAACGUGUCUGCUGUCGACGGAACAGAUCCAGGAGUCUUUCCGGAAGCCGCACGACCUCUCCAGAUUGAUCUACUACAAGAACAUGGCUCACGAGCAGCUAUGGCUCGAGUGUGCCCAAAAACUAACCACCGUUAUCCAGCAGAUCAUCGAGUUCGCCAAGAUGGUUCCUGGAUUCAUGAAGCUCUCGCAGGACGAUCAAAUUGUUCUAUUAAAGGCUGGUUCCUUCGAGUUGGCUGUGCUACGUAUGAGCAGGUACCUCGAUCUCCAGCAAAAUUGCGUCCUCUACGGUGACACCAUGUUACCGCAGGACGCGUUUUACACGACGGACACGGCGGAAAUGAAGCUCGUUUCUUGCGUGUUCGAAUUGGCCAGGAGUAUUGCCGAAUUGAAGCUUACGGAAACAGAGCUGGCUCUUUACAGCGCAGCGGUUCUUCUCAGUCCCGAUCGACCGGGGCUGAAAGGGCUCGCGGAAAUCACGAGACUGUCGCAGGCGGUGAUCAGGGCGCUCAGGUCGGAGUUGGAUCGCAACCACGUGUCGCCCAUAAAGGGCGACGUGACGGUCUGCGACGCGAUCCUCGCGAAGAUCCCUCAGCUAAGGGAGAUCUCGCUUCUGCACAUGGACGCACUGGCGAAGUUCAAACGGUCGCAACCGCACCUCGAGUUCCCGGCCCUUCACAAAGAGCUUUUCAGCGUCGACAGCUGAACGAUCGACGCGGCGCAGGGCGUCCCGACGCUGACGAACAAAGCGGUACGCGAGUAGCGCCGGGCCUUGCUCUGUCAAGAUUAUUUCCUUCGUAAUGAACGUAUUGGGCCUUAAAUAAACAUAACAUUGUUAUAUAUAAAGUAUACAUAAAAAAAGCAACAUAAAGUAUAUAUAUAUAUAUAUGAAAGAUAUAUAUAUAUAGAAGUAUAUAUAUAUACAAAUAUAAAAUAUAUUAUAUAUAUAUAUAUAUAUACAUAUAUAUAUAGAAAGAGAGAUUGUGAGCGUGUAUGAAUGCUAGAAAGCGUGAUACGUGUGGGUGAAAUAAGAAUAAAAAUGAAUGAAAAUACGCGCGAAAGAGAGACGAAACGAUGAUAGGAAAUUAUAAUGAAAAUAAGGGAACGUGCGAGAGCGAACGAAAGCUGCGUGUGAUAAUAGUAAUUAACGAGAGAGAGAACUGAGAAAUAUCGGUUGUUAUGAUGAUACAUACAUAAAGAAGUAUAUAUAUUGUAUUAAUUAAAGUAAUGCAAAAAAAAAAGUGGUUAAAUAAGAGCCUCAGCUGGGACGAUCCAUGGACGACGUAGAUGAUAAUAUAUACAUAUAUCUAUAUAACAGGGGACUGGCGUGUACGGAGGAAUUUUGAUCGGUCCGCCAAUCGUUGCAUAGAAACUGGCAUACAUUUAACAAACAAGUAAACGACGCAAAAAGAUGAAAAAUAACCGAAGAAAAUAGCGAUUCGACGAAGAUUGUAAUUCGACGUGAUGCACGGCCGGAGAUCGCGUCGGUGUUUCCUGCAACCGUAUGCAAUUUUAACAGAAACAAAAAAAUUAUACGAAUAAAUAUAUUUGAUGAGACUAAUAUAGAAAUAAUCAAAGAAGGAUACCGAUGCUAUGUCCGGCUGUCAAACGUCGUUCAACUUCGUAGUAGUGGUUCGCAUAGUUUCCUCUGAGCUACUUUAGACUCUAUAUAUGUAUAAACACACACACGCAUCUAUAUAUAUUAUAAAUAUAUAUAUAUAUAUAUAUAUACAUACAUAUUAAAGAAAGGUGAAAAACGAGCACGAUUCGGCGGUGCGAGCAAGAUUCAACGGUCCCUGUGCUUAAAGAGAAGAUUUAAUUAAACACAGAGAAAUAAAGAAAUGAAAUGAAGAAGGGUUAGAGAGACAUAUAUAUAUAUAUAAAUAAAUAAAUAAAGUUUUUGUCCAUGGACCGGCCUGAUCGGCUCACGGACGCAACACGUGGAAAAGAAAAAGAAUAAAGGAACACAGGCACACCGAUACACACACGAUAUACACACACCCGCAGCGAGACUAAAAAUGAUAGAAAAAAAAGAAAAAUGAAGAAACGACUAAACGAAUACACAAUUUUACAUACACGAUGCCUGCGCGAGCGCGUAGAUAGAGUUUAAUCGAGGUAAAGUUAUGUGCGCAUUGUAAAAGUUUUGGUACUGUACGGCACUGUAUUGACGCGUCUCUUUAUACGUAAACACGUACUUCUUAACUAAAUAAUAAUCCAUCGCCGCGGUGAAGCCUCUCGAAGCGUUUUUUACGCACCGUUACCGGCUUUCCUCGCUUUCGUCGGCCAGGUGAUGCCGGCUUAUCAUCUGUCGUGCACCCCGAGCGUACGCCAAUACGAUUUUCCAACAAAAAUUCAGACGAUGGGUUGUGAGGUAUAAAGAAAAAUUUGAUAAAAUCCAAAAUUUUGUAGCUGGGUAAAUUUUCAACCCCUCCAGCGAUCGCACAAAUUCUUCAAAAUUUUCUCAUUUAUCAUUAUAUCAUACACGGUGCCAAUUUAUUAAUUUAGACCCUUUAGAUCCUUUUUAUCAUUUCGAAGAGAUUUUAUUAUCACAGCUCAAUCAAUGUAUCGAAUGUAAGGUACAAUAUUAGAAGACUUUUAACUAUGAUCCUUUGCAUCCUUGUUCCGUGUAUAUUCAAUCUAUUUUCCCCUCGAUUAAAGACUAUCUUAAAGACACCGUUUACUUACGAUUAGAACUGUAAAUGUUAUUAACAAUAUAUCUUCUCGUCGUUAACGCAAUAAGUAAGAUUAAUAAAAGAAAGAGUACUAAAACUUGGAAUUAGAGAUCUAGCUGGUAACACGGUUCAACAGGUGCAAAGGAUCUUUCAAUUCGUAUUCAUUCAAAUUCUUCAAUGGAAAUAUAAUUAAGAUUCGUUCAUGAAUUUACAACCCUUUCGUUGCAGUAAUUAAUCUUGGUACCAGGAACACGAAAUCUCAGCACGAUAAUUUUUCAAGCAAACGAAAGGGUUCGUGAAAAUCGCGUUGGUUCGGUGCUCGAAAAGGUUUAUGGGACCCGCGUGGCGGCCCCGUGAGACACUUCGUGGAUUCAAGUCAAUGUGAUGACGAUCAACGAUCAAUAGCUUCUUUCCUUUCGAGAGACGUCGUUCGUCGCGGCCGCGCCUUUCACUUCGUCGUUUAAGUCGAUUUUUUGUACGCGAUCAACGAUUUCCGGUUGACACACGAUUAGCUGGUUAAUUAGUUAUUACGGUAGGGUCGUCAGCGUCGCGCGAACGACACGGUCGACCAUUGAUUCGCGAUCGUCGCCGAUUUAGACGUCGUAGAAACGCGACAACGAUCGGGUGACACGUUGAUUUUAGACGAUUUACCCCGCGUUUUCAACUUUCUAUAUCAAUCAUCAUUUCUAGCUGAUUAAUCGACGAGUUAAUCCCCGUGAAUUAGUUGCGUUCGCGACGUUCCUUUCGAUUCACCGGGGAGGAUGUUGUAUAGUUGAAUAAAUUUUACAGUGAGUUGUUUGAAAAUUUUAUUAUAAUUAGGUAAAAAUGAUUAAACAAAUCUUUAGGUAAUUCGGCUCGAAUGUUCGACACGAUGUAUACCAUUAAAUUCGAAUUCAUUUGUAGAGAAGGAAAUUCUUGAGGGGAUGAAACUUGAAAAUCUCGUGAACUGGCGUUAAUUAUUCAACUAUAUCAUUCUGUCCGCAGCGAAACGUCGUUUAGUCGAAUUUAACGCUAAGUUCGAGUUUCGUAGCGCAUCAGCGAGCCAGGUCGAUACUUUACAGUUACAAAACUGUCCCACAUUUUUAGCGCAGCUUAGCAAGCCCGCAUAGCGUGACCGUAGUUUAUAGACGUAACAGAGUUUAUACAUAAGUUUCAUCGUAAAGUAUCGUCCGUCGUUCGCGCAAGGUCCUCCACUCUUAUUGUAAUUUAACGAUGACACAUGGUCCCUCGAGCAGCACCGAAAGCGAUACCACCUUAUUGUUAUCGAACAUCGGACGAGUUUUUCUAUUUGCGAGAUCGUUGUAUUAACGUUUCUAUUACACACCCGUGCAUAUAUGUAUAUUGUUCAUCGCGUGUACCAUUCGUUGUCGCGAGGAUGGCUACUCGAGGGAUUACUCGGUUCUUUAAUCAUCACUUCGAAUCCUUCGAAGGAGUCGAGCGACGUGUCGAAUGAAAGUAUAGAAAGAGCUUCGAUGAAUAAGGGAGACGUAGACAAACAAUUAUUUUUGAAAGAGAGAGAGAGAGAGAGAGAGAGCGCUUUUAGAAGAUAAUUCAAAGGCGAAACUUAGUAAAUCAUUGAAAAUGGAAAGAGAAUGUGGUGAUUGUUUUAGCCCGAAUCGUUUAGCAUCGAAGAGAAACGUAACGAAAGAAAGAAAUUAAAGAAAAAUAAUUGAUACUAAAAAACUAGAGAAAGAAGGCUCGACGAGAGCGAUGGCGAAUCCGUCACGGUGCGCCGACUGACACGUUUUCGGACGGUUUAAAUAUACUUAUAGCGAAAUUAAGAAAUGCAUAUUAUUCUGCCGAUUAACGAGUAAGUGCGUAGAAUUCGUUUAACUGUAGAUAAAGACACGUACACAGUCACGUACGCGCGAGUGCAAGAUACAUUACCACCUGUAAUCGUUCACCCACAAACCACCCACCCAGCCACCCACCCAUGUGUACACAGCGUACAAAUACACAUAUAUCACACGACACGUGCAGACAUACACACACACACAUACACGGACACGAACACGUACAUAUACUUAGACGUCGGAGAUAAUCGAGGUACGGUUAACAGAAAAAAAAAAGAAAUAUAUAAAACGAAACGAAUGGAUAAGAGAACGUGAGAAAACGAGAGAAAGAGAGAGAGAGAACGAGAAUAAUGGGAGAUAUUAAAGAAAAAAAAAAAUAAUAAAUGCAAAACACACACACACAAAGGCGCAACACGUACACGCGCACGCACGUUGCAAUUAGACGUUAUUAUCGCAAUUUGGAGUUAAAUUUUAUAAUAUAUAAUAUAUAAAAAUAUAUAUAUAAUAAAUAAAAGUU